GAUGAACGCUGGCGGCGUGCUUAACACAUGCAAGUCGAACGGAAAGGCUCCUGCUUUCAGGGGUACUCGAGUGGCGAACGGGUGAGUAACACGUGGGUGAUCUGCCCUGCACUUCGGGAUAAGCCUGGGAAACUGGGGCUAAUAACGGAGAGGAUGAUUGUUUGGAUGCCAUUGUGGAAAGUUUGUUCGGUGUGGGGUGAGCUCGCGGCGUAUCAGCUCUUUGGUGGGGUAUUGGCCUACGAAGGGGUUGACGGGUAGCCGGCACGGGAGCGGGUACGGCCACCAUGGUACUGAGAGAGGCACCAGAAUGCAACGGGAGGCAGCAGGGGGGAAUCUUACACAACGGGCGCAAGUCUGUGGCAGCGACCCUGCGUGCGUGAUGCCCGCUUUCGGGUUGUAAACACCUGUCGAUAGGGACGAAGCGAACGUGACGGUACCUAGAGAAGAAGCAACGGCUAACUACGUG
rnacentral:rRNA from 1 species